rnacentral:rRNA from 1 species
UACGAAGGGGGCUAGCGUUGUUCGGAUUCAUUGGGCGUAAAGGGUGCGUAGGUGGCGGGGUAAGUCAGGUGUGAAAUCUCGGGGCUCAACCCCGAAACUGCACUUGAUACUGCCUUGCUCGAGUACUGGAGAGGAGAUUGGAAUUUACGGUGUAGCAGUGAAAUGCGUAGAUAUCGUAAGGAAGACCAGUGGCGAAGGCGAAUCCCUGGACAACUCCUGACACUGAUGCACGAAAGCUAGGGGAGCAAACAGG